GGCGGGCAUAGCUCAGGGGCAGAGCAUCGGCUUCCCGAGCCGAGUGUCGCGGGUUCAAAUCCCGUUGCCCGCUCCC
rnacentral:tRNA from 1 species